GCAUUGAUAGUGUAGGGGUAUCAUGAGUCGUUGCCAGUCUCAUACACCAAACAGGUGUUUAAUCCACUCGAUUCGACUCGACCGGGGUUCGAGUCCCCGUCAAUGCA
rnacentral:tRNA from 1 species